rnacentral:lncRNA from 1 species
AUCAGUUUGCAUACAAACACAGCACGUAAUAUUCCACGUUUAUUCCCCAGAUGAUGGUGCGCACGUAUACAAGUAUUGACAUUUCUAAAUAUGUUGUAUAAUAACUCAUCAGUCAUGUACGAUCCCCAAAACAUGUAGCCCAAUUAAUCAUGCAGUUUGUUUACAAGUGUGUGGCCCAACGGCUCGGGCCCGGUAAACUGUUAUGACCCAGUAGACUUCGCGGCCCAACGUAAUUAAUACAAUAUGUAUGUGACCUAAAGUGGGGGUUCGGCCUAAGAGGGCUCUAGUAGUUUCGUAGCCAUAACAGUAACAUAUUUCAACUUCAACUCAUAAUCUACCCACACAUU